rnacentral:lncRNA from 1 species
UGGGUUUAUUUAAUUAUUCUUUAUUUUAUAAUUAUUAUCAUUUUUUGCUUCAUGCAGGAAGUCCAGAGCAGGUGGUGGUUCUGAGACAAGUUAUAUCUGAGUUCACUUUGAAGUUCUCUUCAUCUCCUACUUUGUGGUCCCUCAGUGGUUGCUGCAGCUCCUGUCAACACAUCUCUAACCCAGGGCUGGGCCCCACUUCUGGACUUGGGAGAGAAAUCAGUGCAGGGAGUGGGGCUGGCCAUCUCCCUGACACUGCACAGGAUCUGAGCGCCCACUGAGAGCUCAGGAGGGGAGAGAAAAGGAGAGAUGGGAGAAAAGAGAAAAGGGAGAUGGGAGAUGGGAGGGGGUGGACGAAGAAUCUCCGCUCCUCUCUCCCGUGUGUGGACACCUACCUCCUGAGGCGCUCCUUCUGCUCGGCCAUCCUGGAGAAGACCCACGUGCUGAGUGAGCAUGUAUGUCCAGUGUCUUCCUGCGUUUCCGCAGAGCCAGCUAUGGAGCCAUGGCGGUGCAGUUCUUUUGAAGGUCCCUGGACGUCACCAAAUGGGGAACCAGGGGUAGAACUCCAGAAAGAUGCAGAUGAAGCACCAGAGGUCUGAGGCUUAUGGGGUAGAGUCCUCUUGGCUUCCGUCUGCAGACCUGGAUCAGAAGAGCUUCAAGGCGAGCUCUUCCUGGAGGAGCCUCAGCUCCUUGAGUGUUCCCAGGAAUCCCGGAGGAGAUGGGGGUAGGCACCUCUGAGAGCAGUCCUGUAUGCCCACCGUACCCUGCUGUGCUGUGCACUCUUCCUGCCUGAAUUUUUAGUUUCUAGAACUUUUAAAUUGUCUUUCUUAGGAUAAUGUGUAAAGAUGAAGAUUACUUAAGCUCCUCUCCAGUGUUUCAAAGUGAGAGGUAGGUAUACUGAGAACUUACAGGAAAAGAGAAAUAACGUUCUUCUAAAAAUAAGGCAUGGUAGCACUACCACUGUUCUCCAGUAAAUGGAAUCCUAAAUCCAACGAGGACCUAACGUUGGCUCAUAUGAGACCGGGUCCGGACAUAUUGGAAUAGUUAUAAUAUUUUACUUACUUUUUUCAUUAUUAUAAGUAUCCUGUUUGUAAGUUUUAUAAUAUAUUGAAAAGUAUUAAAAAAAUCACCAUAAUCUCACCAUAAGAUAACUGUGCUUAUUUUCUGUUCUUUCAGACGUUUUCAGUGUUAUAUGUGAGCAUCUGUAUAUACACACACAUAUUUUUAUAAAAACAUUAUCUUACUUUACAUAUUGCUUUCAGAUAAUGUGUAAAACUGUGUAGAACAGUUUUUUGUAAUGUGUAAAACCAGGAGUUGGUGAUGCACAGGGAAGCCUGGUGUGCUGCAGUCCAUGGGGUCACAAAGAGGCAGACACGACUGAGCGGCUGAACUGAACUGAAAACUGUGUAAUAUGUAAAACAUAUUGCUGUCUUUUUUCUCUUAACUUACUGUUGUCAUCUUUCCUUGUGAAUAAAUAUGUCUGUUUGUACA